AUAUCAUGGUGUGGACAUUUCUUAAGAAAAUCAUCAUAACUUUCCCAUGAAUCAUGGAGCUGUUCUCCCGGGAUUUGGGAAAAUGCCAUGAUUUCUUUUCUCAUUU